rnacentral:lncRNA from 1 species
UUUUCAGAUGUAUGGUAAGGUAAAUUGAGCGAUUUUGUUUCUGGCUUUCAUUGCUUUUAUGCUCUAUGACUCUAAUGCUCUAAUCAUUUACCAAAAUGGAGAAUUGUUAGAAAGGAACAGCGUCUCUCUGGUCUAGUCUCUUUGGUGUUAUCCUGUUAUAUGAUGGUAGGUGUAUUGCUAGCUCAUCCCAGAAUACAGCUUUGAGGCCACAGACUGAUGAAAAUUUCUGCUUCUGGCAGUGUCCCCACACUUCUGCUGCAUCGUCUCAUGGCCUUGUCACGGGACAGAAGCUGCAAUGUGAGGUGAGGCACCAGCAGCACCAGGAACAGCCUGAUGUUCACAGAAAAACAUGGAAGGUGUGUUCAUUAUAAGCAGCCUCUGUUCUCCCAAAUGAUUUAUUGUGAAAGGCAGCUUAGAAAAAGUUUGUGCAACACUAACAACAAGCACCUUGCUCCUGUUUAGGAGGGACUGUCCAUGUGAUGUAAGUGCAAAAAAAUGUCCCCACUUUCAGGUACA